rnacentral:rRNA from 1 species
AACGUAGGAGACAAACGUCAUCCGGAGUUACUGGGCGUAAAGGGCGCGUAGGCGGGCUACCAAGUCUGGGGUGAAAUCCCACGGCUCAACCGUGGAACUGCCUCGGAUACUGGCGGCCUCGAGGGAGGUAGGGGCGUGCGGAACUGUGGGUGGAGCGGUGAAAUGCGUUGAUAUCCACAGGAACUCCGGUGGCGAAGGCGGCACGCUGGACCUUUUCUGACGCUGAGGCGCGAAAGCCAGGGGAGCAAACGGG